GUGCUCGCUUUGGCAGCACAUGUACUAAAAUUGAAAUGAUACAGAGAAGAUUAGCAUGGAUCCUGCGCAAAGAUGACAUGCAAAUCCAUGAACCAUCCCAUAUUUAA
ensembl:snRNA U6 U6 spliceosomal RNA